rnacentral:pre_miRNA from 1 species
GUUAUAUAGUUGAAUUGAACUGAGAUGCUUAUUAUAUCAUAAUAAGCGUCUCAGUUCAAUUAUUAUUAUCAAGG